AAAAAGCAGGAAAAAAAACAUAGCAGGAGACCUAAGCAAAACAGAGAUAAGUAAUAUGCCUGAUAGAGCAUUUAAAAGUAAUAAUCGUAAAGAUUCUCACUGGACUUGGGAAAAGACUGGAGGACAUCAGUGAUAC